AUCACAAUGUGGCCUGAACAAAGCCCAUGACAAAAGUAGCAGCAGUGAGGAAUAUUGGUCAAUAGCCUAACGGCUGAACCAGCAACUUGGAGGAAUGAAAAGCGAAAGCUAAUUGCAUUUACUUAAAAUUAAAUUUUAAGAGAGUGUCCCUUUUUAUUUAUAAAAAAUUGGAUGGCUUUUAAGAGAGUGGUCCCUUUUUAUUUUAAAAAUUUGAAAACCUUUUAAAGAGGAAGGGUCYAUUUUUUAUGUAGUUACUACUUUGUAGUUUAAAAUUCUAGAUAGAAUUAUGAUGAUGACAUUAUCUAUCUAUUAGUCUUGACCAAAUUACGUGCCAGCAGUCGCGGUAAUACGUAAAAGACAAGUGUUAUUCAUCUUUAUUGGGUUUAAAGAGUACCAAGACGGUUAAUAAAGCCCAAAAUACAUGAACACAGGGGACACAUUAACUAGAGUUAUAUGAAAGGAAGCACUAAAGUACUGUUGAGUGUAGAGAUAAAAUUCUAUCAUACCAGAUAAAGGCACAGAUUUAUGCGAAGGCAUCUUCUUAUGUAAUAACUGACGUUGUAGGACGAAGGCUUUUUAAGUGAAGAGGAUUAGAGACCCUUGUAAUCUAAGCAGAAAAUGAUGAAUGUCAUAGGUUUAAUAUAUUAUUGGGUCUAUAAAUGAAAGUGUAAGCAUUCCACCUCAAGAGUAAUUUGGCAACAUUGGAACUGAAAUCAUUAGACCGUUUCUGAAACCAGUAGUGAAGUAUGUUGUUUAAUUAGAUGAUACACAAAAAACCUUACCACAAUUUGAAUAUAUAUCUUUAAAGAUAUUUACAAGCGUUGC
rnacentral:rRNA from 1 species